UUUCCCCCAUCCCUCCGCGAGUCCUYCGGGUGCCUCGCGGUAAAACCAACGAACCCCCGGCGCGGAUCGCGUCAAGGAUUACGAGAGAGGGCGCGGCUCGUGGUUCGUGCGUACUCCAUGGAGCGCAUCGCGCCACGACCAGCCCCGUGCAUGCGCAACAAAUACGACUCUCGGCAACGGAUAUCUAGGCUCUCGCAUCGAUGAAGAACGUAGCGAAAUGCGAUACUUGGUGUGAAUUGCAGAAUCCCGUGAACCAUCGAGUUUUUGAACGCAAGUUGCGYCCGGAGCCGUGAGGCCGAGGGCACGCCUGCCUGGGUGUCACGUAUACGAUCGUUGCUGCCUCCAACGUGUUGGGGCUCCGCAAGCGGAUGAUGGCUGUCCGUGUCUCGUCGCGGAGGGCUAAAUGUUUGUGAAUGCGGC
rnacentral:misc_RNA from 1 species